CAUUUGGGUACGAGACGAUCAAUCUUCCUCAAGGUUUCUGAAACUGAGUGCGUUAUGGAUUCGUACAGUUCUUCAAUGCUUUGUUUGCAAUGGCGAGGAUCUGUGAUAUCAUGUAUAAAAAAGUCAGUAUUUUUCUUCUGAAAAUCACGAUCUCUUCAUCGGACCUGGAAUCAAUCCACCGUCUCUCACCUGCGAUCAUUGCAUGAAGACGAAGUCGUUGCCGUGACGUUCGAUAUUCACUUCACCACCUCUGGUCAAUCAAGACGUGAUGGUUUAGGGGUGCAUUUCAAUCAACUUAAUUAUGCUUCUGCUCCUUACCUCCGUUGCCAAAACUGUAAAGGAAAUCUUCUGCGAGGGAUCGAGUCUUCUGCGUUUUUAGGGGCAAGCAGCAACGGAUUAGCGAUAGUCCUCCUGAUCCAAUCAAGCUUUUAUCCACUUCCCUCAACAAACGGUUUCUCAGUCCUCCUGAUCCAAUCAAGCUUACCUUCACUUCAUCCUACAAACGGUUUCUCAUCUCUCUUAAUUUAGAUGGAUAGAAACCGUUUGGCGUGUAAGUAUAUUGAAGAAUGGGUAAACUAUUAAAGAGGUGACGGAGAAGUUCGUUGAGAGAUACAGUAACAUUAAAUUUCUGCAAGGCUAUGGCUUGACUGAGACGGCGGCUAUAGUUGCUUCUAUGUUUACUAAAGAGGAGACUGAGAGGUACGGAUCCUCUGGUUUGCUUGCUCCGAACAUGGAUGGUAAGAUUGUGGAUCCGGAUACGGGUCGGGUCUUGGGGGUGCAUCGAACCGGGGAGCUCUGGCUCCGGAGUCCUACCGUGAUGAAAUGUGAUUGGUUCUUUUCGAAAAGGUGUUUUUGUUUUUGGUAUGAAACUGUUUUGAGUUGUUUUUAAAAGGUUAUUUUAAGAAUGAGGAAGCUACUGCAUCUACUAUUGAUUCAUAAGGAUAGUUGAAGACUGGAGAUUUGUGUUACAUUGACGGUGAAGGUUCUGUCUUUGUUGUUGAUAGAUUAAAGGAGUUUAUCAAAUGCAAUGGUUAUCAGGUUGCUCCAGCUGAGCUUGAAGCAUUGUUGUUUGCUCAUCCAGAGAUUGCUGAUGCAUCAUAUCCCUGACUUGAAAGCUGGGCAAUAUCCAAUGGCAUAUAUCGCAAGAACAGCUGGAAGUAACUUAUCCGAAAAAUCCCUCUGGCAAAAUUUUAAGAAGAGAACUUAUAAAUCUCACAAACUCGAAGCUCUAGCAAACCACUCUAUCUUACACUUCACAGUUAGUUAACUCAUUUAUUUGGUUAACCGAUUAUUUAUUUCUCUUACAUAAAUCUCUGUCAAAACUGAAUAUUGAUUUUGCUCAGCCUGUGAGUUCUCUCCUCUCCCUGUGUCGACGUGUUCCUCUUCUUGGUGUCUCUGUUUCUCAUAUCUGCUAUUGUUGAUUUUGUCUAG